UUUGGUAGAGUAGUAUUAUGGGUGUGGUAAGACUCUUCGUUUUCAGCUUGCUGCUCGUCGUCCUUUGUGUCGCGUCCGCUUCUCGGCGUGAGCAACAGCAGCAAAAUGACGCAGACCAGCUGCUGUCACGAACUGCCAGACAGUUGGGAGGUUAUGGGAGGCCGCGUCACAUGGAGCCACCCUUGAAUAAGUAUGAUGGUUCAGGCAUUGAAUAUCCUGAAACGAAGGGGCAUUAGC